rfam:Picea glauca, whole genome shotgun sequence.
GUAUGUACAUUCCUACAAAAAAACGUCAAUGCACCAGAUCCCAUUAGAACUCCAUAGUUAAUUGUGCCCGAGAUAGAGUAGUACUGAGAUGGGCGACCUCCCAGGAAGUCCUAGUGUUUUACAUGCC